CCUACGGGAGGCAGCAGUGAGGAAUAUUGGUCAAUGGGCUUACGCCUGAACCAGCCAAGUCGCGUGAGGGAAGACUGCCCUAUGGGUUGUAAACCUCUUUUGUCAGGGAGCAACGCCGGCUACGUGUAGCCGGACUGAGAGUACCUGAAGAAAAAGCCUCGGCUAACUCCGUGCCAGCAGCCGCGGUAAUACGGAGGAUGCGAGCGUUAUCCGGAUUUAUUGGGUUUAAAGGGUGCGUAGGCGGAAUGCCAAGUCAGCGGUAAAAUCGCGGGGCUCAACCUCGCUCCGCCGUUGAAACUGGCGUUCUUGAGUGGGCGAGAAGUAUGCGGAAUGCGUGGUGUAGCGGUGAAAUGCAUAGAUAUCACGCAGAACUCCGAUUGCGAAGGCAGCAUACCGGCGCCCGACUGACGCUGAGGCACGAAAGUGCGGGGAUCGAACAGGAUUAGAUACCCGAGUAGUC
rnacentral:rRNA from 1 species